UUUUAUUCUACAUCCAAUCUUUAAAAAAGGUUUGGAUUGAUAAAUGAUUGUGUUUUAACUUUAGUUCACAACAGCAAUGCUUCUCUUGAGUUGCAAUAUAAGGGUUGGGAGCAUUAAACCAUAAUCUCUUCACAGUGGCCACGAUACAGCCAGUACUUCUACUCCUGCUACUGGCCAUGUCCUCACCAGUGUUUGGGACUGAGAAAUCAGUACUGGAGGGAACCUCUGUGAGCCUUAUCUGCAGAUGCCUUGGGGAUAUAAAGCUUGAGACACGCUAGGGAGGAACUUGUGGAACUUUUCAGUGUACUGAUCCCAUAAUGGAAGAUCAAUCCAAAUAUAACAUUAACGCUGAAGUUGGAACAAUGAAACUCACCACUUUAAAACUACAGCCGACAGACAGUGGGAGCAACUGCUGCAGAGUCUAUGUCCCUGGAUGGUUCAAUGAUCUUAAACAAUCCUACAGCGUGAGGGUAGUUAAAGGUUGUGAGAGGGACCUACGGGACAAUGUCAAUAUUCCGGGAAACGAUAUUGCGACUCAGCCAUUUACAACCAAAAAUGCAAGUCAGUGCAGGCAGGAAUGCCCCAAAAAUGACAAGUGUCAGUACUUCACAUUUGUUGGGGAAAAGGUAGAAAAAAUAGACAGGUACAUGCUCAUGUAUGAAGCUUAUUUUUUAUGCUUGGGCAAACAAAGGCAGCAAUAUAAGUUCUAGAUCCGCACCAUUCUGAUAACUACUAUGAGAUUCUUUGUGAUAUUUAACAAGUGUUUCUUAAAGGCCUCGAAUGGUGAUACACCUGAACUUACAAUAUUGCACCUCCAACAUGCAACCUCAGGGUACUCUCUGAGACACUGCAGUGGUAAAGGCGAGUACAUUCAGUUAAUAUAUAUUUGAGUUGUCAUUUAUUUUGUCAAUUGAAUAUCUAGUCAAUAUCUAAUAAUUACAGAGGUAGACUUUACUAAUAGGCCCUCUUAAACAGGAUAACAUAGACAUGGAUAUCUACCUCUGUCAUGUUGUGUUUCUGUUUAUUCCAUCAUCUCUGUCGAAGGUGUAACUUAGUGAAGGUCAUCAAUCAAGCAUCAGAGCUCUUUAAAGAGGGCCUUUGCAGACCAAUUUCCUGUGAACUCUAUAUUCUGUAGUCUAUUAUAGAGUACUAUACAGUACUAUCAAUACUAUGUAUUUGUAAGGUUCCUUGUGUUCUUUUUCUUUCUGUUCCUGAACGUAGCCCUGUUUCUUUGUGUUCUGGAACGUAGCCUGUCUUUCAUUUUUGUUAAUUGAUUUCGCCUGUGUUCGUUUCUCAACUGGUCUCACCAGCUCUCUAUUUAGUUCAGUUCUUUCUGUUUGUAUGGUUGUGAGGUAUUGUUUGUUUUUGACAUGCCUACCUGUGUUUGACCAUUGCCUGCCUGUGACCACGAUUCCUACCUUCUGAGAAGGCUUUAUAAACAUCUGCCGCGCUCUGCGAGUGAAUCUAAACCUUUUUCUCCAUGAGUGUUCAUUACAGUAUUCACUAUUAGUCAUUGAUGCACAGGACACGUCCAUAUUCAUGAGAUAAAUUAGUUGGAGUUUUGAAUGAGUUUGCAAAUGUAUGAAUUUGCCUCUGUCACAUGCUCUAUGUUACUCUACUAUCAAAUAAUAUGUGUUGCCUAUAUUUUAGAAUAGAAACAUCGGAAGCUAAAGAUGGUAAUGUUUGCCACUCAACACAACAAGCAGUCUGAUAAGCACCCCCCACCCCCAGAGAGAUAGUUGGCAAAAUCUUUAACAUUAAAAGAUUGGACAUUGAAACAAUAUUUCUAAUGUAAAGAAUAUGGGAAAUGGUUGGUUGGGAUCCAAACAAUAAUCAUGUCAAAAGUGUAUUGUUUUGUGAGAUCAUUAAGAUCAUUAUUGAAGAAGGCUCAACCCACAUCCCAGAAACCCCUUCUCUACAGUUGGCUACUAUCUGCAUUGCUCUUUCCUCCCUUUAACUCCCUCCCGUUUACAGUCUAGACUCACUCUACUAGUAAUAGUCUUUAGAAUGAGCCAAAACAUAAUGGUAAGACCUGGUUGUAUAAGAUACAUCAAUGUCCUCUUAUCUUGUGUACAAGAUGUUUUAACAGAUCUCCACUAGAGGGCUCUCCAUGGCACCCUGGACAGUCUGCAGACAGACACCACACUGAUCUGCCAGAGACUACCACACUCAUGGUCUGGAAGGAACCUGCAUUUCAAUUCAUUAUAGUAUUAAGCCACUAUUAUUAUUAGUAGUACUUUUAUAAUAUUUGUUUUUUAACUUUGAUAAUAUUAGUAAUAUUAUAAUAUAGUAAUAUUAUACUCUCUAUUAUAUGAUAUUACUUAAUGAUACUGUAUUUACAUAUACUGACUCAUAAGCAUUGUUAUUUGACCUAUAAUUUACUGUAAUACUUUGAUUGUUUAAAAAUAGAGUAAAGAAAGGUAAAGUAAAAGGUAUUACCUGAAAAUGAUGUAUCUGACUGUGAUCUGUACUCUUUGAUAACACUAUUUAGAUAGAAUGUAAUUGUUGUUAUUUUGUACUUUCUGAAUAAACAUC
ensembl:lncRNA